rnacentral:rRNA from 1 species
CCUACGGGGUGCAGCAGUGAGGAAUAUUGGUCAAUGGGCGCAAGCCUGACCCAGCAACGCCGCGUGAAGGAAGAAGGCUUUCGGGUUGUAAACUUCUUUUGUCAGGGACGAAGCAAGUGACGGUACCUGACGAAUAAGCCACGGCUAACUACGUGCCAGCAGCCGCGGUGAUACGUAGGUGGCAAGCGUUAUCCGGAUUUACUGGGUGUAAAGGGCGUGUAGGCGGGACUGCAAGUCAGAUGUGAAAACCACGGGCUCAACCUGUGGCCUGCAUUUGAAACUGUAGUUCUUGAGUACUGGAGAGGCAGACGGAAUUCCUAGUGUAGCGGUGAAAUGCGUAGAUAUUAGGAGGAACACCAGUGGCGAAGGCGGUCUGCUGGACAGCAACUGACGCUGAGGCGCGAAAGCGUGGGGAGCGAACAGGAUUAGAUACCCCAGUAGUC